CUGAUCGGCCACAUUGGGACUGAGACACGGCCCAAACUCCUACGGGAGGCUGCAGUAGGGAAUCUUCCACAAUGGGCGAAAGCCUGAUGGAGCAACGCCGCGUGUGUGAUGAAGGCUUUCGGGUCGUAAAGCACUGUUGUAUGGGAAGAAAAGUUAAGGUAGGGAAUGACCUUAGCCUGACGGUACCAUACCAGAAAGGGACGGCUAAAUACGUGCCAGCAGCCGCGGUAAUACGUAUGUCCCGAGCGUUAUCCGGAUUUAUUGGGCGUAAAGCGAGCGCAGACGGUUGGUUAAGUCUGAUGUGAAAGCCCGGAGCUCAACUCCGGAAAGGCAUUGGAAACUGGUUAACUUGAGUGCAGUAGAGGUAAGUGGAACUCCAUGUGUAGCGGUGGAAUGCGUAGAUAUAUGGAAGAACACCAGCGGCGAAGGCGGCUUACUGGACUGUAACUGACGUUGAGGCUCGAAAGUGUGGGUAGCAAACAGGAUUAGAUACCCUGGUAGUCCACACCGUAAACGAUGAACACUAGGUGUUAGGAGGUUUCCGCCUCUUAGUGCCGAAGCUAACGCAUUAAGUGUUCCGCCUGGGGAGUACGACCGCAAGGUUGAAACUCAAAGGAAUUGACGGGGACCCGCACAAGCGGUGGAGCAUGUGGUUUAAUUCGAAGCAACGCGAAGAACCUUACCAGGUCUUGACAUCCUUUGAAGCUUUUAGAAAUAGAAGUGUUCUCUUCGGAGACAAAGUGACAGGUGGUGCAUGGUCGUCGUCAGCUCGUGUCGUGAGAUGUUGGGUUAAGUCCCGCAACGAGCGCAACCCUUAUUGUUAGUUGCCAGCAUUCAGAUGGGCACUCUAGCGAGACUGCCGGUGACAAACCGGAGGAAGGCGGGGACGACGUCAGAUCAUCAUGCCCCUUAUGACCUGGGCUACACACGUGCUACAAUGGCGUAUACAACGAGUUGCCAACCUGCGAAGGUGAGCUAAUCUCUUAAAGUACGUCUCAGUUCGGACUGCAGUCUGCAACUCGACUGCACGAAGUCGGAAUCGCUAGUAAUCGCGGAUCAGCACGCCGCGGUGAAUACGUUCCCGGGUCUUGUACACACCGCCCGUCACACCAUGGAAGUUUGUAAUGCCCAAAGCCGGUGGCCUAACCGUAAGGAGGAACCGU
rnacentral:rRNA from 1 species